GCAAGGAGUAGUUAGGUGGUUUGGGACCACUCAGCCCCCACCUUUCUCAGCAGCCCUUGAGGUCAACCAAAUGGCUAAACUGAAGAGCAACUUGGCAGCUAGUCAGAUAGGGGGUGGGGGGAAGAAGGGAGGAAAAGACUUGAAUUUUAACCGCCUCACCAGGGAUCUGACUCCCUGACAAUGAACAUUUAGAAGAUCCAUGCUGUGAUGGUGGUCUGUCCCUGGGAGAAGAUAAAUUUUCUUUUCCUUAUCUUCAUCCAGUGAUUCAAUUAAUGCAAAAACAAACUAAAACAACUCCAAUUGGUGUUUUCUGGGAGGGGCUGUGGAACACAGGGUUCCAGCCUAAGAGGAGCUCAUAGUCUAGUGCCUUCUUUAGGCUAUCAGCCUUGUACCCACCACUCCCUCACCUCGGCCUCUGAUAGAGGAGUAGUUGGAGACCGCGCCAGGGGAGCCACAGACAGAGAAAGCUAUGCAGAGCAGCCGAAUGAGCCACUAUGGGAAUCAGGAUUUCCUAACACAGGACAGGAAAUAUAGAGAAGCUGUAAAGCAGACAAGGGUAAAGGAACUUACAGCUUUUGUUCCUUUGCGUGGCAAGGUUGCUCUUGACAUUCACUCCAAAAUGGCCAAUGGGAGUAAUGCCAUGGUAAGUUUCAGAGUUUAUUCUCUUUCUGCCUCUGGACUCAGGGUAUUGUGACUUUCUAUUCAUUUGCUUUGCUGUUAUUAAUAACAUACUAUUUAAUUCACCAAUUUAAAUUGUAUAAUUUGAUAUUUUUCAGUAUAUCUAUAAAGUUGUACAGCCAUCAUCACAAUUUGUUUUAGAACAUUUAGAACAUUUUCAUCACCCCUGAAAAGGAUCCUUGUACCCAUUAGCAGUCAUUCCCACAGCUCCUUGAUCCUUGCCCACAUACCAGUUCUAAGCAACCACUAAUUUUUCUUUCUGUCUCUGUAGAUUUUUCUAUUCUGGGCAUUUCAU
rnacentral:lncRNA from 1 species